UAUGAAGAACGUAGCGAAAUGCGAUACGUAAUGUGAAUUGCAAAUUCAGUGAAUCAUCGAGUCUUUGAACGCACAUUGCGCCCCCUGGUAUUCCGGGGGGCAUGCCUGUCCGAGCGUCAUUGCUGCCCUCAAGCACGGCUUGUGUGUUGGGCCCCGUCCUCCGAUCCCGGGGGACGGGCCCGAAAGGCAGCGGCGGCACCGCGUCCGGUCCUCGAGCGUAUGGGGCUUUGUCACCCGCUCUGUAGGCCCGGCCGGCGCUUGCCGAUCAACCCAAAUUUUUAUCCAGGUUGACCUCGGAUCAGGUAGGGAUACCCGCUGAACUUAAGCAUAUCAAUAAGCGGAGGA
rnacentral:misc_RNA from 1 species